UUGUUUCCACAUGGAUGUGAUUUCUAACAACAUAGUUGGUGAGAUACCAUAUAGUUUGCCACCCAAUGCCACACAUAUGUAAGCCUAUUGUUCUGAUGAUUUUUUCCUUCAUCAGUGAAUUCUAUUUGUUUAUGUGACCCUGUGUCUUCAGCAGUGAGUUUUUCUGAUGAAUCUUCUUUAUUGCAGAAACAUGGCUUGCAAUUAUUUGAGCCAAAAUAUCCCUCAUUCUUUACCAACCAUGAAGAAACUGAGACUUCUGCUUGGUCCCUUGGAAAAUCAACUCAAACAGAGCAAAGUAGCAACACAAGGAUAUACAACUCAUAGCCCUACAAUAAUGACAAGGCCUAAACAGUGUGCAUUAUGGCAAGUUGUUGCAGAUGCUCUACUCUCCCUCGCGUCUUUCUGGAUGCAGCUAGAUCCGAUUCUAAUUCCAACAAAACUUUGUUAAUUCAUGCUUUUAACUGAUGUAGCUUGCUUUAAUUUCUUGAGAGAGUAUGUUCUCAACAAUAAUUAGUAUUGUUUUAGACAAAUUAGUAAAGUGACAUGGAUUUUAGUAUUGUUUUGUUAUUCAA